rnacentral:lncRNA from 1 species
GGAGCUGCAGCCCGUGGAGAGGAGCCCACGCAGGAGCAGAGGAUCUGGGGGGAGCUGCCGCCCAUGGGGGACCCAUGCUGGAGCAGUUUGCUCCUGGGGGAAGGAUGGACCCUGUGGUACGGAGCCAUGUGGGAGCAGUUCUUGAAGAGCUGCUGCCUGUGGGCAGCCCCUGCAGGCUCAGUUUAGGCAUCCCGUGGGAGGGACCCCAUGUGGAGUAGGGGCAGAGAGGUGAUAAGACAGCCUUCUGGAGUAUCAACCAUUCAUUUCGUUUCUAUGUCACUACUAGUUACUGGCCUUCCAAGAGAUGUCCUGUGUCUGAUCCCCACUCUCUUAGCAUGCUCGUUCAACCAAUUUGCAACCCACUUAAUGGUAAAUCAAGGUGAAAAAAAUUAAAGAAAAAAGACACAUCAAAACACCAUCCCAACCCAACAGUGUUUGUAACAUGUGGGGCAAAGUGCUACAGGCCCUGUUGGGGCAGAUGGCCCAUGGUGACAUCACUGAGCAAUGGGCUGUGACCUCAUAGCCCUUGCUGCUUAUAUUGGGGCACCAGCAGAGGCCACGUCAGUCUAGCUCGUGGCUGGACUCCUGCUGAGCAUGUGUGCGAGGCUUGGAGCACCGAGCGAGGAUUUGGUGGAGCCGUGCUGUGGGGCCACCGGCAGCUGUUCUCAGUGCCCGUCCCUACAGCCAUUGCCCGUGUUUCCCCGGCCCUGCCUGGCUCAGGCAGCCGGGGCCCCGCGGGACACAGCGCAGCGCAGGUGUGUGUCUGGGCCACGGAGAAACUUUCUGAAGAGGUCCGCCAACUUAAAGAGAAUUGAUCUCCCUCCCCACCUGUACAAACCAGUGUCUCAGCUAUCAGUGAUAAGUGUCCUCCUGUGCAAUGAAGAUGACAAAGUGGGUACACGCGCUGUGCCACCCUGUGGUUUUCCCUACAUGACCAUGGAGAGAACACAAAAAGGGAUGGAGAAUCUACUAGGACGCUACAGCCACGGGAAUCUGAGCUGCAAAGACAAAAAAAAGGGGGGUUCUGUGAGAAAUAUGU